GACGAACGCUGUGCGGCGUGCUUAACACAUGCAAGUCGAACGAUGAAGCCCUUCGGGGUGGAUUAGUGGCGAACGGGUGAGUAACACGUGGGCAAUCUGCCCUUCACUCUGGGACAAGCCCUGGAAACGGGGUCUAAUACCGGAUAACACCUGCCCGGGCAUCUGGGUGGGUUAAAAGCUCCGGCGGUGAAGGAUGAGCCCGCGGCCUAUCAGCUUGUUGGUGAGGUAGUGGCUCACCAAGGCGACGACGGGUAGCCGGCCUGAGAGGGCGACCGGCCACACUGGGACUGAGACACGGCCCAGACUCCUACGGGAGGCAGCAGUGGGGAAUAUUGCACAAUGGGCGAAAGCCUGAUGCAGCGACGCCGCGUGAGGGAUGACGGCCUUCGGGUUGUAAACCUCUUUCAGCAGGGAAGAAGCGAAAGUGACGGUACCUGCAGAAGAAGCGCCGGCUAACUACGUGCCAGCAGCCGCGGUAAUACGUAGGGCGCAAGCGUUGUCCGGAAUUAUUGGGCGUAAAGAGCUCGUAGGCGGCUUGUCACGUCGGGUGUGAAAGCCCGGGGCUUAACCCCGGGUCUGCAUUCGAUACGGGCUAGCUAGAGUGUGGUAGGGGAGAUCGGAAUUCCUGGUGUAGCGGUGAAAUGCGCAGAUAUCAGGAGGAACACCGGUGGCGAAGGCGGAUCUCUGGGGCCAUUACUGACGCUGAGGAGCGAAAGCGUGGGGAGCNAACANGAUUAGAUACCCUGGUAGUCCACGCCGUAAACGGUGGGAACUAGGUGUUGGCGACAUUCCACGUCGUCGGUGCCGCANCUAACGCAUUAAUUNCCCGCCUGGGGAAUACNGCCNCANGGNUAAANUCAAAGGAAUUGACGGGGGCCCCCACAAACAGCGGAACNGGNGGUUNAUU
rnacentral:rRNA from 1 species